UUUCCUGAUACGCCUGCCAACUGUGCCUGAGAUUGCUUGGCUAGAGUAAAGAAGAGGGUGGUGGAAUUUCGUGUGUGGGGGGGAAAUGCGUAGAUCAAGGUAAGAACCUCAAUGGCGUUUGAGGCGACGAGGUCUGAUACUGACGCUGAGGUGCAAAACCGUGGGGAGCAAAAAGGAUUAGAUACCCUGGUAGUCCACGGAGUAAACGACGUCUGUGCCCGUUGGGGAACUUGAGUCUGUAGUGGCGCAGCUAAGGCAUUAGAGAGGCCACGAGGGGAGUACGGCCGCAAGAGUAAAACUCAAACGAUAGGAAAGCAGCCCGCAAAGCGUCUCAGCAUCCGCUUCAAUUCAA
rnacentral:rRNA from 1 species